AAUAUUGGGCAGGGAGAAAGGGUGCUUUUAGAACCGAGCUGUUCAGGGUCCCAGAUCCUCUAAUGUAAUGCCAGCUGAACCCAGACAGUGACUUCCACCUCCAUGAAUGCAGGUGAUUGCAUCCUUUGAAAGCCUGUUUGCAUAGCAGACAAUGAAGCUGAGCAGAGAAAAACAAGAUGAGAGACAGAUGGAGUAGGAGACCUGAGAAGAUGGCUUGAGUCCAUGAAUUCUGGUGUUCCCUAGGCCACAUUUGCCCCCAUCCUUCCCAGUGGACGCUUGAAGAAGCAUCUUGUGAUCUCCUGGCUGGUACCCUGAAGUCCUGUUAUGCCAAUGGACCAGCAACCCUCGCAGGAACUGAGCCUGCAUCUGACUUCCCCUUUCUGGCUCGGUUGUCACAUCCUUCAAGGACAUUCCAGCUUCUCAUCACUUUUCGCUUUGCCUCAGCACAGUCGCACGAUGCGGCCAGUCACGGCACCACUGCACUACUGCACCAUCUGAGCCCCAUGCCAGAGUAUCCAGCGACUCCUCCUGCAUGUUGGAACCAACAGUCCUAGGGGAGGAUGAUGACUCGGCCAAGUACCCUCCGCCGCCUCCCUACCCCCAACCAUCUGUGGGCUAUGUCUCUCUGCUGCCAACCAGAAGAUAAUAAUUCCACUGUGCCAAGCGCCCAGAACAUGAUCCUGGGCUCCACAUUUAGAAGGGAUAAAGGCUACCUGGAACAUGUCCCCGCAUGUUCAGAGGGAGGCAAAUGGGAGGAAGUGAAGGAGCUCGGUCAGGACAUGUGAGAAGAGGCUGAAGGAAUAGAGCAGCUUAAAGAGAACUCAUAGAAAGAGAAAACUAAUCUUAAGGGAUCUGAAGGAUUCAUUUAAUUGUAAUAAAAAGGAAUUAACUUGUUCUGGGAGGCCCUAGACCUACCAAGCAGAAACUACAAGGAAAGAUUUUGGCUCCUCCAAGUAACAACUCAGGUUUCUCAAAAGAUGGAAUGGGCUGGGGUGGGGAGGGGACAGCAAGUAUGGCCAUGGGAUGAAGCUCUCACAGAGGGGAGGGCGGUUACCCUGCGCCUCCCUGACAGUGCGUGAAGGGAGGUGUUCACGUUCCCAUUUAUUCUGAGUUUCCUGUAUGGGAACACGAUCACUGCCAAUUUCCUUAUAGUCCCAUGUCACUUUCCCGUAGAAAAACGCACACAGACUUUCCCUUGAAGAAGCUUUCUCUUUGAACACGGCAGUCUUCUUACUAAUAUAGAAAUGACCAGCCCAUCUUUGGGAUCAGAAACACUAAAAUAUUACUACAAUGUGGGCGCUCAUGUCAAUCCUUUUACAAACCUCUGUAGGAGUGCUUCUCUGAAUACUUUUAAAAUUGAAGGGGAAAAAAAACCCCAUAGUGUUAGAUUUUCAUUUAAGUUCAAUGCUGAAUUUCUAAGGCGGAAAUCAGCGUAACCAGAAGCACCCAGUAACCCGAAGGGGAUGCUUUUCAUAUUUUCAGUCUGUUUAACUCCACCCAUUUGAGAAGAUAAGAAGAUGCCUUUUCUAUUUUUAGAUUCUUACCCUCUCCCCAUAUCAUCUAAACUGAGGACAUAGCUCUAAGCUUCAAGACUAUGAAACUCUAUUAGCUGGCUCCCCAGCUGCUGAGCUCUGUUAUGCAAAUGAACUUAGCCAGAAUGAGCAGACGGUAUUUUAAAGACCCAUUCAAAGUCUGAUACAUCUCACCUUCCAUUAUUUUAAAGGACUUUCAUUUGUGAUUCAGCUACAGCUUGAAUUUAUUGUUCUUUUACAACCCUGAUUAUAUACAGACCCACAAAUACCAUAUGUGAGACUCAGUGCUAAUUUGUGUACACGUCUCAUUUUUAUGGGAUCUAAUUUGAAAGAUCUCUUAGAAGCAAAAUUGGAAGACAGAAGGUCCACCUCACAUAGCACCAAGUCUGCACUUUUGAACAGAGGCCAUUAGGGCCUUUUUUCCUAUAAAAAUGAGUUACUGGGGAAGACUCAAUGUGGACACAGAUCUCUGGCAGUUACAACAAGGCAGGAGGAGGGCAAGUCCUCUCAUGCCUGGUUCAUUUAUCAGGACGUGUUGUACAUGGCACCAGGGCUGGUCAGAAGCACCCAGGCAGGCACUCUAGUUUCAUGGAUGUGAAUCUCUGAUAAGGCCAUUGCUGUGAACUGCUCACGUGUUUCCACAACUAAUGGAUCUGACUUGGUCUGUGAUGCUGCAAGGACAAUAUCAAUACAGGAAGAGAACUUGACUCUGAAGUUUUCAGCAGUAUUCAGCCAGGAUAGUCAUUCUAAUCUCUGCUCAAAAGCAAGGAACUUGCUCUCAGUUGCUCACAAAAUAUUAAUAUUUAAGUCAGCAAUUAUUCUAUGCAGUACUCCAGUUCUGGUAAUGGUAAUUUCAAAUGAUCCCAAAUAAUUAGCUGACACUGUCCAGAAAUUCAGAUUAUGGUCAUUUAACCCAUACUACCUUGGAGGGCAAAGUUCCUAGCCAUUUGCCUUUAGGCCACAUUCUCAAGUUCUCUGAUGGGGUAAAGGGACAAAUACAGGACUUCCAUGCUAUUCUGCCACCCUGCUAGGGCUGUCUACAAUAAUCCAUGUUCCUUGGAUGGGCUGAAACAUGGCUUUUCUGUAUGAUACCAGCACUGGCUAUAUGUGGAAUCUGGUAGUCGUCAUUCUACUCUCAAUCUACUUCCACUGCCAACAUCCUUGCGUUAUUUGUAUAUGUGUUAGUACAAAUAUAUUUGUUGAAUGAUUUCCCUCUAACUAGGCUGAAAGUUCUUCUGUGGGCAUGAGCUUAUUCAUCUUUUGCCUCCCACAACACAUGGCCCACAGUGAACUUCAAAUUCACAAGUGUUAAAUCCAUAACCCCUGCCAGACUUUCCAUCAUGAGAGCCAGGUUGACUUGCUCCCAGGGGCCAAACCCUAGAGCAAGUCUACAGAGGCUCUCUGGAAAGUGACAAAUCUGAAAUACUUUGUUCUCUAAAUAAUUUACACCUGUGAAGAGUACUAGCUAGCAUGAGUGCUUUCUGUGGGCCAGGCAGGCAUGUAAUGCUCAGAGCAUACCUCUUGGGAAGCAGUCUUAGAUGAAGCCUGUGUCUCCAGUCAAUCACCCAAAAUGUGGAGGAGCUAGGAUUGCAGCCAUAGCUGCAUUCUGUAGCCACUGCCGAUUUGAUAACUCAAGGACUGCCAACCUGAAGACUAUGUAUCUUGAAGUCUGACAGCACCAAGAGGAAAUGACACACCAAGAGCGCAACACUGAUGAGAGGUGGAGAUGCUAACCUGACCUUGUCAGAAGCCAAAAAUGAGAAGAAGGGUCCUAGACACUGGUCCCUCCAUCUCUAACUCACUAGGACUUUUCAGUAUUUUUGCUAUUGUCAAAAAGAAUCUCAAAAGGGAUUUGACUUUGUGGUAAACGUCAAAAGAUUUGAAUUGUAAAGUAACAAAGGCCCCCUCAUCCUCGAGGAGAAAAACAAACAUCCUGUUCUUAGAAAAUCGUGUUAAGUGCUGUUCAUUCUUUUCCCAGAGGAAGCCCAUUGCAUGCGACAGUGAACAAUCACAGGCUUUCACUGGGGACAAUAGCUCCCUAGCUUCCUAACUGACACUUCAUUUCCCUCCUAACCUGAAACUAAGAACCUUGUGUUCCCUACAUGGAAAGCUCUCCCACCUUCUUACCAUCAGCCUCUAUUCACAACAUCCUCUGAGACCUGCUCCAGACUCACUUCCUUCCUGGAGGAAGUCUACUCGAAUGCACCUCACGUAAUCCAGCCUUGCUACUGCUUUGCUUAGGGGUUUUCUUAGGGGUUGUGGAGGGCUUGUAUUAUGUGAUUUGUUGUUUCCUGUUUUGUGGUUUUAAUGCCUGAUAUUUCCAGGUGGCUGGUGAGCUCAAGAAGAAUAAGGUAAGCAAAAGGGCUAUACAUGAGUGUUACUGUUGAGAAAACUCUCUUCCUUUUUAUGCUGAAUCACUUACAGAGCCUCCUCUUGAGCUGGGGACACAGAAGGCCCUCAAAUCUUACUGAAUAAGCUCUUCUAGUUUUCUUUCUGACCAUCCCUUAAGUCAAGGGUCUACAAGCUACAGGCGGGCCAAAUCCGGCCCCCUGCCUGUUUUUAUAGAUAAAGUUUUAUUAGAACACACCUAUGCCUAUUCAUUUAUGUACUGUCUACAGCUCAGUGGGGUUCUCAACUGAGGGUGAUAUUUGUUCCCUACGCGAUAUUUGGCAAUGUCUGGGAAUAUUGUUGAUUUUCAUGACUGCGGGUGGUGUGCUCCUGGCAUCUAGUGGGUAGAAGCCAGGAAUGCUACUAAACAUCCUACAGUGCACAGGACAACUCCCCAAAGGAAAGAAUUAUCUGGCCUCAAAUCUCAGUAGUGCUGAAGUUGAGAAAUCCCAGUAAAGGUGCUUUUGCUCUAUCAGGUCAGAGUUGAGUAGCCUGUGACAGAGACUGUAUGUGGCUCUCAAAGCCCAAAGUAUUAACUGAGCCCUUACAGAAGAAGUCUGAACCCCUGUCUUAAAUGUUGGCAUUUUCAUAGGGUUGGAUGGCUGCUGCCCAUCCCCCGCUCCUCAACAAUUCCCCCGGCAAUCACAUACCACCUCUUGGGAUAACUUCCAAGUCACUACCGUCAACCCACAUGCAUCUACUUAAGUCCAGACCAGUGCUACUCAAAGUGGGUUCACACAGUCCAUGAUGAGAUAAGAACAGAAGUUGAAAGCAAGAUCUUUUUGACAUUGCCAUAACAUCAAGCAUGUGACCAACAGAUUUUUUUCUUACUGAACAGGCUAUUGACAAGUUUGGGAGCUGUAUGCUGUUGAGCUUGCAUGGGGGUUGUGUGUGGCCCAAGCUCCAUAUUCCUUGUGCACAGUAGUAUUGUACAAUGCAUUGGAACUGGAAACAAACAAAAAGACAGUGGCCCUUCCCAGAGAGUUUGAAAAGCAUUGAUUGGCCUUUCCCUUCCCUUAUAUUCCAGACUUCUCUACUUUGCUUCCCUUGUCCCAUAUAAUACUCAUAAACCUUGUCCCAAAUGGGAUUUGCCAUCUUUCUUCCCCCUGCCUGCCUUAGGCAUCUGCCUUCCAAACUAUGCUUUCCUGGUAAAUGGCAGAAGUCACUCAAUUCCAAAACCUAGCUAUCAUCCCAACACUUCUCCCCGCCUCCAUCUCUACAUCAAGUCCUACAGUCCUAUCAGUCUGUCUGGACUGUCUCUCCUCAUUCAUCCCUGCUCCAUCAGCCUUACUCCUGGCCCCCAUGAUCUUUCUCCUGCACAAGGACAUUUGCCUUUCACCUACCUCCCUGCCUCCCCGGUCCUUCCACCUUAUCUUCCAAUCUACACCAGAGUGAGGUACCUAGAAUCCUCAUGUAACCUUAUCACUCUCUGCUUUAAAACCUUUCAAGGGUUUUAAGGCUACAGCUUGCAGAUAAGAUAAAAUAGCUUGUGAAGCCCACUUCAGCAAUCUGGGGGGCCUGCCACACUUGCAACUGAAUCUCCUGCCAGUUCCCCAUGGCAUCCUAAGCUCCCAUAGCGUCCUGUGUACACCUCAAACCUAGCAACUAUCACACUGGAUUAUUAUCACUACUUAUUUAACUCUUCCCCAAUUAGGCUAUACUCUGGGAGAGAGAACGGAGAUCUUAUUCAUAGCAGGUAUUGAAAAAAAUGUUGAAUGGAUAAACAAAUGAGAAAGCUUGAAAGACAUUGCUGUGCCUCUUCCUCUUUAACCCUGCCUGCUCUAUUGAAAAUGCAAGAUGGAAUCUAUGAUUCUUACAGAAGAAAACAAACAUGUAACAAGAAGCUGUCUCCUCUUUUCUUGUGGUAAAGGCUUUCAUUUUUCCAUCUGUAAGCCAUUUGAACCUUCCCCUAUCCAUGCAGGGUAAUAAUUUAACAGUGUAUCAAUGCAAGCCAGAGUAAUUCUACAGGACCAUACAGAUCUUUGGCAAAUAUACAGAUAAAAAAUAUAGAUCUUAAGGCAAAUAUUUGUGGAUAUGCUGUUUGAAAGAGAUACGACUCUUAUCCCUGAAUGCAAUGUGCAAAUAGUGUCUUAGGUAAGACUCAAAAAAAAUUUGACAAUACAGUCCUCUGAAUUCAAACUCAGUGAUUCUACUUAAAUCAAACUUAAAGAAUGAGGCCCUGGAGAAACAAUGAACUUGCUCUUUUCUGUUUUCAAAAGGAAAUGUGUUAAGGGAGAACUUGGCUCAUUUGGCCUAAAAUGUACAAGGAAGCCUCAAGAAACUACAAUGGACAGUCUAUAGAAAAGGGUUGUUUGGAAGAUCAAUGUGUGACUGGCACAGAUCAGAUACGUGGGGAAAAAUAAACCUAUCAAAACAUUUGCCAAACCAAACCAAAUGAAACACCGACUGUACGGGCCAACGAAACUGCUGUCUCACUGCUGUUCCUGGCCUGAGCGGGGAAAGAGCUGGACCAAAACCAUGAGCCAUCCCUGUAAGACGCAGAAGCCCUGAUACACUGGGUACCAGUUACCUUCAUGUAAAAUGGAGAUAAUCAUCCCAAACUUUAUAAUAACCACAGGUGUUAGAGCUGAGUGUUAAAAUCUACAGUGCUAUGUAAACACAAGGCAUUAUCUUUUCCCCAAAUGAGACCAGACUAUCCACUGAAAUACAGAGUGGAGGGGAAACUAUUCUCAUUGCCAAAAUAAACACUUCUAUUUUCUCCUUAAAUUUCGCCUGUAUCACUCAUUAAUAAAAUUGUUGCAGAUGAGGCUAAAAUGGUUCCUAUUGAUCCUGUGGACAGUCUCCACAGCUGGAAGGGAUUCCUACCACCAGCUUGAUUAGAAGUUAAUUCCCCUGUCAAUGGGACAUAGGGCUGGGGCUAUCUUCUCAUUCACAUCUACACGCAUCGGUUAUCUUCAGUUGGGGCUCUUCCAGCCUUAGGAACAAAUGAAACGUCCCUGAGUUGGGAAAAUUACAACAACUGCUAUAUAGGUCAGAUAAAAGUGGUGUUUUCAUACCAACUUGGGAUCUCUUACAGUAGCCCCUGACCUUAAGACAUAAAUAAAUACAAACAAUCUAACAUUUUUUUUCUCCUAAAUUCUGUUGACCCACUUACUUUAUCUUAUGGAUGAUUUUAAGAGGAAAAUCCUUUUACUUCCAUUUAAAGUUCAUUUUAAGUUACUUUGGUUUUACUUUUGUUCAUUUGGUUUUACUUUUUAAGGAAAAAGGAAGCUGAGACCAAAGGGGAAUGUUACCUUCUCUGAUUUAUUCAACUUCUAUUUUGCCUCUACCUUAAGGUUAAAAAAAAAAAAAAAAGUAAAUGGAAUGAACCUCAAAGUGGCAGACCUGGAAAUGAUGGGAUCUGGAGGGUGUAGGGUUAGGGAGUGGGCACAACUAACCCUGUCAAAGGGAAAUGGAAGGCCAGAGUGGAGCAGUAAUCAUUGGAAGGGACUUCAUACCAUAUGGGAGUCCAGAUUUCCAGGCUUGAUGAGUAAGGAAGAGCCUAAGGUCCUGAAAUCACUUGUCUCCUUUUGAUCAUGAAACCAUUUAUGAAAACCUUGUGAAAAACUAUAGGGAGUAGUAUGUAUGUAUGUAUAUGUAUGUAUACUAUAUAUAGUGUGUGUGUACAGUGUGUGUGUGUGUUAUAUAUAUAGUGUGUGUAUAUAUAUAUACACACACAGGCAAAUGAUUUGAUUUUCCAAAAAGAAGAGACAAUUACUUGUGAUUACUAUCACAUGUAUCUUCAGUAAAGGUCUGGGUUUUGAACACUUAGGGGAUAUAUGCUCAGUAGGCACUGAUAAAAAGUUCACUGGCACCUCACUUGCUUACAUACAUGACACAGUUGCUAGAUGGGUCAAUUACUUGUAAUCUGCCAAUUUUAGCCAAGCCUUAAAGGGAUCUUAUUAAUAGGGCAAGUGACUUGGAAGACACAGGAGAUGCACUUAUCAAAUCUGAAGAUAAACAGGAGACAUAGAGGGAGCUUCAUUGUGCCAGUGGCUAACUGGGGUUCAGAAUUACCUGGACCGAGAGCUGGGGCUGGAUGAAGCCCACAGGAAUGAACUGAAUGAUGAUGAAUAGAAGUCCUGCUUUUGGGUUAAAAUUAAUUACAUAAUCCCAUUUGCGCACAGUGGUGCAGGCUCUGGCUGCUGGCGCUUAUAAACCGGACGGCAAGGCUACCAGGAGCUGACAGCACGAGGAGGUGGCUGAAAAAGUCAUAGCCAUCUGAGGGUCUCUGGACAGACCCCACGAGAAUUAGUGAUGUAUGAGAGAAGAGAAAAAACAAAAGGGCAUAUUGUUAUUUUCUUAAAUACUUGAUAAGUAGGGCCAAUCUCUCUCCUUUUUAACCAAAGAAAUUAUGUUAUUAUCUGCUUAUAUGUCAGGCUUAAGAUUUUCUUUUCCUUGGCUUAAAAAAAAGUUUGACAGAGCUGGGCCUAGGAGGAAGAUUCAUGCUCUGUGUCACUUAAACACUUAAGGCCUUGGUUAUAUCAUGUCAGAACGAGACUGGGGCUGAGAUAAGGUCCUUCCAUCUGUCAGAUGGUAGGGCUCUGUGAUUCUAUUUGCAGAAACAUCUAGCGUCUAGGAAGUUUCCAAAAAAGAAAAAAAAAAAAAAAGUAAUGUUUUUAAGGAAAGUAAGACUAGCCUUAGAAUCAAAAUACUUUUUACCAGCGAAUACAAUUUUCAUCACCCUUUCCCAUCCUUCCUGGUAUUAAGUUAAUGGUCCUGAGCCAUGUAGUGACUCCCUUUGGGAGCUUCAGUUUCCCCAUCCGUGAAGUGCAAAUGGCAAAGGUGGGAGUCUUCUUAGGUAACAACGAGCAUAAAGUGCUUGGCAAAGCACCUGGCAGGCAAUGAGCCCAAAUCAAUGGAAGGGGUAAUGUUCAUUAUAAAUUACCCCAAAAAGCUGGAGCUGCAUAAGGAAGAAGAUGAGCUGGAAGCUCAUGGUGAGGAUUCCUUCUAACCUUACUCCUUUUAGACCUUGGGAUCUGGCUGCCUAAACUGAUUGUUUUAAAUAUAGUGUGAAAAACUCCCAAAUGUUCUGGGUUCAACAGUCUAAUUCCCCAUUCUGAAAA